rnacentral:rRNA from 1 species
CAGUAGCCGCGGAAUACAGAGGGUGCGAGCGUUAAUCGGAUUUACUGGGCGUAAAGCGUGCGUAGGCGGCUUUUUAAGUCGGAUGUGAAAUCCCUGAGCUUAACUUAGGAAUUGCAUUCGAUACUGGGAAGCUAGAGUAUGGGAGAGGAUGGUAGAAUUCCAGGUGUAGCGGUGAAAUGCGUAGAGAUCUGGAGGAAUACCGAUGGCGAAGGCAGCCAUCUGGCCUAAUACUGACGCUGAGGUACGAAAGCAUGGGGAGCAACAGGAUUAGAUACCCCCGUAGUCCCUGUCUCUUAUACAC